AGCGAACGCUGGCGGCAGGCCUAGCACAUGCAAGUCGAACGAACCUUUCGGGGUUAGUGGCGGACGUGUGAGUAACACGUGGGAACGUGCCUUUAGGUUCGGAAUAACUCAUGGAAACUUGUGCUAAUACCGAAUGUGCCCUUCGGGGGCAAGAUUUAUCGCCUUUAGAGCGGCCCGCGUCUGAUUAGCUAGUUGGUUGAGGUAAUGGCUCACCAAGUCGACGAUCAGUAGCUGGUCUGAGAGGAUGAUCAGCCACAUUGGGACUGAGACACGGCCCAAACUCGUAAGAGAGGCAGCAGUGGGGAAUAAUGCGCAAUGGGCGAAAGGCUGACGUAGCCAUGAGGCGUGAAUGAUGAAGGUCUUAGGAUUGUAAAAUUCUUUCAACGGGGACGAUAAUGACGGUACCAGGCGAAGAAGCCCAGGAUAACUGCGUG
rnacentral:rRNA from 1 species